AGAACGAACGCUGGCGGCGCGCCUAAUACAUGCAAGUCGAGCGAGAAGACGUAGCAAUACGUUUGUAAAGCGGCGAACGGGUGAGGAAUACAUGGGUAACCUACCCUCGAGUGGGGAAUAACUAGCCGAAAGGUUAGCUAAUACCGCAUACGACUCUUGGUCUGCGGAUCGGGAGGGAAAGCGAUAUCGUGGGUAUCGCGCUCUUGGAUGGGCUCAUGUCUUAUCAGCUUGUUGGUGAGGUAAUGGCUCACUAAGGCUUCGACGGGUAGCUGGUCUGAGAGGACGAUCAGCCACACUGGCACUGCGACACGGGCCAGACUCUUACGGGAGGCAGCAGUAAGGAAUAUUGCGCAAUGGGCGACAGCCUGACGCAGCGACGCCGCGUGGGGGAUGAAGGUCUUCGGAUUGUAAACCCCUUUCGGCAGGGAAGAUGGAACGGGUAACCGUUCGGACGGUACCUGCAGAAGCAGCCACGGCUAACUUCGUGCCAGCAGCCGCGGUAAUACGAAGGUGGCAAGCGUUGUUCGGAUUUACUGGGCGUACAGGGAGCGUAGGCGGUUGGGUAAGCCCUCCGUGAAAUCUCUGGGCCUAACCCGGAAAGUGCGGAGGGGACUGCUCGGCUAGAGGAUGGGAGAGGAGCGCGGAAUUCUCGGUGUAGCGGUGAAAUGCGUAGAGAUCGGGAGGAAGGCCGGUGGCGAAGGCGGCGCUCUGGAACAUUUCUGACGCUGAGGCUCGAAAGCGUGGGGAGCAAACAGGAUUAGAUACUCUGGUAGUCCACGCCUUAAACGAUGGAUACUAAGUGUCGGCGGGUUACCGCCGGUGCCGCAGCUAACGCAUUAAGUAUCCCGCCUGGGAAGUACGGCCGCAAGGUUGAAACUCAAAGGAAUUGACGGGGGCCCGCAUAAGCGGUGGAGCAUGUGGUUUAAUUCGACGCAACGCGAAGAACCUUACCCAGGCUGGACAUGCAGGUAGUAGAAGGGUGAAAGCCUGACGAGGUAGCAAUACCAUCCUGCUCAGGUGCUGCAUGGCUGUCGUCAGCUCGUGCUGUGAGGUGUUGGGUUAAGUCUCGCAACGAGCGCAACCUCUGUCUUCAGUUACCAACGGGUCAUGUCGGGAACUCUGGAGAG
rnacentral:rRNA from 1 species